AUGCUGCCUAUUGAUCUCUUCCAGGCAAGUCUCUUCCUUGAUGAGGAGGACCCCCUUGAUACCCAGGUCCACCUUGCUCGUAGUUGCGGGCACCUCCUUGAUAACCAGAGCUGCCUGAUGGGGAGCCAGAGAAGCCACCUUGAUAAGGUGGAUUGCCUCCCUGAUAACCAAGGUUGCCUGACGGGGAGACAGAGAAGCCACCUUGAUAAGGUGGAUUGCCUCCCUGGUAACCAGGGCUGCCUGACGGGGAGCCAGAGAAGCCACCUUGAUGAGGUGGAUUGCCUCCCUGAUAACCAGGGCCACCUCCUUGAUAACCACCAGGACGGCUUCCCUGAUAACCAGGCCGUCCUGCUUGAUAACCAGGACCACCUGGCAUAUUGCCUCCAGGGUCACCACCCCGGUAUCCUUGACCACCACCUUGAUAACCCGGACCUUCUGGAUAGCCUUGACCAGUUCCUUGAUAGCUAGGUCCAGCAUUUGGUGGCCCAUAGCUGCUGCUCCUGUUAGGUAUUUGAUUCUGGUAGUUUGGUGCAUUAGGUGGCAUGGCAUUGAAAUCACGGGUAGGCCCUGCAGAAACAUCUCUUGGAGGCAUCGGAUUUUGAACAUUUGGUGGCAUGGCACUCUGUGUAUCACGAUUCCGGAACUCCUGGUUUGGCACUGGUGGUGCUUCUCUAUUCUGGAAGUUCUGCAUGUUUUCCCUUCUUCUCUCAAAAUUUCUCGACCGAUCAAAAUUGCGAGGCCUGUCAUUCCGCC
rnacentral:lncRNA from 1 species